CGACACCGCAGGAGGACGAGGACAGCGUGACGAGCAGAGAGCAGCGGCUCACAUCAGGAGCUUCCAUGGUGACAGCAUUAUUAUCUCUGAUGAGGACUGCACCACAGAGCCAAGCACAAACCGGGACAGAACCAGGACUGGGGUCGAGGCGAAGCAGAGGAGGGAGGACUGCCACAUCUUCUAGGACCUAUGUCGAGCUUCACACUCCAACAACAGCAUAUGAACAGGCCAGAAUCUGAGCACUGUGGACAACAUCCAGACUACAGUGUUUCCAUGCACCACGCAAGGCUGACCUUCCAGACCCAGGACAGAGUAACAGACAGUUCAGUCAGGCAGCAUACAGACAGUUUGUAGUGUGGCAAUGUGGAGCACUUGGUCACAGAGUUGUGAUACUAAGUUGCUGUUUCUGGAAGAUAUGCAACCGUUAUCCUGAUCUAUUAGGACAAUACAGAGGUUUAAUCGUAGCAGGGUGU